rnacentral:rRNA from 1 species
CCUACGGGAGGCAGCAGUGAGGAAUAUUGGUCAAUGGACGAGAGUCUGAACCAGCCAAGUAGCGUGAAGGAUGACUGCCCUCUGGGUUGUAAACUUCUUUUAUAUGGGAAUAAAAUGUUCCACGUGUGGGAUUUUGUAUGUCCCAUAUGAAUAAGGAUCGGCUAACUCCGUGCCAGCAGCCGCGGUAAUACGGAGGGUCCGAGCGUUAUCCGGAUGUAUUGGGGGUAAAGGGAGCGUAGGUGGAUUGUUAAGUCAGUUGUGAAAUUUUGCGGCUUAACCGUAAAAUUGCAGUUGAAACUGGCAGUCUUGAGUACAGUAGAGGUAGGCGGAAUUCGUGGUGUAGCGGUAAAAUGCUUAGAUAUCACGAAGAAUUCCGAUUGCGAAGGCAGCUCACUGGACUGCAACUGACACUGAUGCUCGAAAGUGUGGGUAUCAAACAGGAUUAGAUACCCCUGUAGUC